AUUUACAAUAACUAUAUGACUAAUUAACUAAUCAUUACAUACGCUUAGUUCAAAUUAACUGGAAAAUCAUUACAUCAUAAAAGCUUAGCGU
rnacentral:sRNA from 1 species